AGUGAACGCUGGCGGUAGGCCUAACACAUGCAAGUCGAACGGCAGCACAGUAAGAGCUUGCUCUUACGGGUGGCGAGUGGCGGACGGGUGAGGAAUACAUCGGCAUCUACUUUUUCGUGGGGGAUAACGUAGGGAAACUUACGCUAAUACCGCAUACGACCUACGGGUGAAAGCAGGGGAUCUUCGGACCUUGCGCGAUUGAAUGAGCCGAUGUCGGAUUAGCUAGUUGGCGGGGUAAAGGCCCACCAAGGCGACGAUCCGUAGCUGGUCUGAGAGGAUGAUCAGCCACACUGGAACUGAGACACGGUCCAGACUCCUACGGGAGGCAGCAGUGGGGAAUAUUGGACAAUGGGCGCAAGCCUGAUCCAGCCAUACCGCGUGGGUGAAGAAGGCCUUCGGGUUGUAAAGCCCUUUUGUUGGGAAAGAAAAUCAGCAGGUUAAUACGCCGCUGUUCUGACGGUACCCAAAGAAUAAGCACCGGCUAACUUCGUG
rnacentral:rRNA from 1 species